CGAAGGUUUCGGCCUUAGUGGCGGACGGGUGAGUAACGCGUAGGAAUCUAUCCAUGGGUGGGGGAUAACUCCGGGAAACUGGAGCUAAUACCGCAUGAUACCUGAGGGUCAAAGGCGCAAGUCGCCUGUGGAGGAGCCCUGCGUUUGAUUAGCUUGUUGGUGGGGUAAUGGCCUACCAAGGCGAUGAUCAAUAGCUGGUCUGAGAGGAUGAUCAGCCACACUGGGACUGAGACACGGCCCAG
rnacentral:rRNA from 1 species